rnacentral:rRNA from 1 species
GAUUGCAGAAUUAGGUGAAUCAUCGAAUCUUUGAACGCACAUUGCGCCCCUUGGUAUYCCRAGGGGCAUGCCUGUUCGAGCGUCAUU